rnacentral:rRNA from 1 species
AUUGAACGCUGGCGGCAUGCCUUACACAUGCAAGUCGAACGGCAGCACGGGAGCAAUCCUGGUGGCGAGUGGCGAACGGGUGAGUAAUGUAUCGGAACGUGCCCAGUCGUGGGGGAUAACGUAGCGAAAGCUACGCUAAUACCGCAUACGAUCUAUGGAUGAAAGCGGGGGAUCGCAAGACCUCGCGCGAUCGGAGCGGCCGAUAUCAGAUUAGGUAGUUGGUGGGGUAAAGGCUCACCAAGCCGACGAUCUGUAGCUGGUCUGAGAGGACGACCAGCCACACUGGGACUGAGACACGGCCCAGACUCCUACGGGAGGCAGCAGUGGGGAAUUGUGGACAAUGGGCGCAAGCCUGAUCCAGCAAUGCCGCGUGCAGGAUGAAGGCCUUCGGGUUGUAAACUGCUUUUGUACGGAACGAAACGGCGAGCUCUAAUACAGUUUGCUAAUGACGGCACCGUAAGAAUAAGCACCGGCUAACUACGUGCCAGCCGCCGCCGUAA